CUAGAAAGCGGCGGGAAGUUCGUACUACGCUGUGGGACGGCGAGUUGGCCGCUCUGGGUAGGGAGCCCUGAGGUGGCGGCGGGACGUGAAAAUGCCUCGUGUAAAAGCAGCUCAGGCUGGAAGACAGGGACCUGCAAAGAGGCGCCUCGCAGAGCAGUUUGCCGCUGGAGAGAUCAUAACCGACAUGUCUAAAAAGGAAUGGAAACUAGGCUUGCCUAUUGGCCAAGGAGGCUUUGGCUGCAUCUAUCUGGCGGACACAAAUUCUUCCAAACCGGUCGGCAGUGAUGCGCCCUGUGUUGUGAAAGUGGAACCCAGUGACAAUGGACCUCUUUUCACUGAAUUAAAGUUCUACCAGAGGGCUGCUAAACCAGAGCAAAUUCAGAAAUGGAUUCAUACACAUAAAUUGAAGUAUCUUGGUGUUCCUAAGUAUUGGGGAUCUGGUCUACAUGAUAAAAAUGGAAAAAGUUACAGGUUUAUGAUAAUGGACCGCUUUGGGAGUGACCUUCAGAAAAUAUAUGAAGCAAAUGCCAAAAGGUUUUCUCGGAAAACUGUCUUGCAGCUAAGCUUAAGAAUUCUGGAUAUCCUGGAGUACAUCCACGAGCACGAGUAUGUGCAUGGGGACAUCAAGGCCUCCAACCUCCUUCUGAGUUACAAGAACCCUGACCAGGUGUAUUUGGUUGACUAUGGACUUGCUUAUCGGUACUGCCCAGAUGGAGUUCAUAAAGAGUACAAGG
rnacentral:lncRNA from 1 species